rnacentral:rRNA from 1 species
UACGUAGGGUGCAGGCGUUAAUCGGAAUUACUGGGCGUAAAGCGUGCGCAGGCGGUUUGCUAAGACAGGUGUGAAAUCCCCGGGCUUAACCUGGGAACUGCGCUUGUUACUGGCAAGCUGGAGUGUGGCAGAGGGGGGUGGAAUUCCACGUGUAGCAGUGAAAUGCGUAGAGAUGUGGAGGAACACCGAUAGCGAAGGCAGCCCCCUGGGCUAACACUGACGCUCAUGCACGAAAGCGUGGGGAGCAAACAGG